rnacentral:piRNA from 1 species
UGGUUUCAUCAGGAAAUCCUUGCAGC